UACAGGGGGGGCAAGCGUUGUUCGGAAUUACUGGGCGUAAAGGGUUCGUAGGUGGCCACUUAAGUCAGACGUGAAAUCCCUCAGCUUAACUGGGGAACUGCGUCUGAUACUGAGUGGCUUGAGUGCAGGAGAGGGAUGCGGAAUUCCAGGUGUAGCGGUGAAAUGCGUAGAUAUCUGGAGGAACACCGGUGGCGAAGGCGGCAUCCUGGACCGGCAUUGACGCUGAGGCGCGAAAGCCAGGGGAGCAAAGCGGG
rnacentral:rRNA from 1 species